rnacentral:lncRNA from 1 species
UCUGAGUCCUUAACAUCCUGUAAUGAUUUUGACCAUUGUUUUCUAUUCUUGUGCUGUUGAAUUGCAUCUCUAUAUUUUUCUUUGUAGUAUCUGAUGGCGAAACCUCGAAACAAUCUUAGAACACAUUUCGACACAUUGCUAGCAGCACUUUGAGUGAUAAGUAUAUUAUUUUCUAAUGAUGCUGCAAUUAUGCUUCAAUUCUACAAGGUGUGAUGGCAGCUGAGCUAUGUUUCUUCAACUAACCAAAAGUACACUCAUGGAAAUGAAAAUGUGUUUGAUGCUUUUUUUU